ACACACACACACACACACACAUUUUUAAAAUGACUUAAGCAGUUCAAUGGCUGUGCCAAUGAACUGACCCAGCUACUAUGUUGUUAAUGCCUCCCCUCUGAUACUUCUGAAUUAUUACUUAUUAAAAUCUACAUUUCAUCUUUGCUCACCCAGACCCAACUAGGGGAGGGGCCCCUGGGGCCACUCUUCCCGGGGUUUUAGAUGGCUGUAUGCUCUCACUUCUCCAGCCCUCAGGCCCGAUCUUUCUGCCUUCCCGGCAGGGAGAUUCUAAAAACUGGUCUUCCCAUGAUUCCCUUGCCCAGAAAAAUCUAAAAUCCCACCUCUGUCUCCUUGCCCAGCCUUUGGCCUCAGCAACUCUGAGAAGAACAGGGAUCAGGCUAAUGGGAUUGGGGCAACCCCUAGCAUUCUUUCUGGAAGUUUCCCCAGGCUUAUCCAGGCCUCUUCUCCACGCCUGUACUAAAUCAGAAAGGAGAGAGAUGACUUAAGGAAUAAAUGUGUCAGCCUCUGAGGAGAGAGUGAAGAAUCCAAGAGAGGCUCCAGAAUAAUUUACUGAGCCAGGAUAAAGGUCCUUGAGUCUUAAAAUAUGGAGUAUCCAUAACUUAAGAUGGCCUCCAGGAUAGGAUUUUAAGAUGCCAUGUUAAGACCUCAUGAAGAUCUUUAGUAGUAUUUCUUUGACCAUUUCAGAGAGACAAAAGUUCCCCACAGGAUCAGAGGGGCAUUCCUGGAGAUGCACAGACAACAGGAUUUCUGAAGGUGUUAUGGGUGUACCCCAAGACAGCUGCCAGGCAGGUCAGAAAGGAAGAUCAAUGGGGAUGGAUUUCAUUGAAUAGAAAUUACAAAUGGAUGUGCAAGAAUCUCAUAGUGUGUGUGUGUGUGUGUGUGUGUGUGUGUGUGUGUGUGUGUGUGUGUUUCAGCGAGUUUCUAUUUUUCUGCCAGGGUCUCUCACUAAAUCUGGAGCUCACUAAUUCAGCUGGGUGUCUGACAAGCUACUCUCUCCACUUCUCUGGAACUGGGCUUACAUACUCCAGGCUGUGCUUGGGUUUUGACAUGGGUUCUAGGGAAUCUCAAGUUGGGUGCUCAUAUGGCUCUCACUGUGUAGCCAUGGCUGCCCUAGAACUCUAUGGUCCCGGCUGGCUUUAAAUUUGAAAGAUAAAGCCUGCUUCUGCCUCUUGAAGACUGAAAUUAAAUGUGAGCAUAACCAUGCCCAACACUUUAACAGAAAUGCUACUGUAUUAGCCUGAGUUGAAGGAAAUGAGGUAGGGAGACGUGUGAACAGGCUUUGGGAUCCUAACCCUGACCCUUUACAGAUGCUUGUGAGCUGAGGAGGAUGUCAUAUGCAAACAAGACCUGCCUCUUAAGGAACGAGAAAGAUGUCCCCCACACUGGACCUGAGGAUGGAGCGAAGGCUGGGCCAAGGGCCACAGAAACACUUCUAAGAAGCCAUAGCUGCGCUCCCGGAGGUCUUGAAGACAUGGAUGGGCCUGGGUAGACUGUUCUAGAUGUUCUGACCCAAAUGUCUGUUGCAUACCUCCCAUUUAACCCCUUUUGCAUGUGACUUGGCUCCUUCUGCAGUGGCUGCUUCUGGCUCCUCCGGUGGGGGCUGCACUAAAAAUGGAAAACUUUCCAUCCUGUAUCACCUCUCUGUUGCACUUUCUCUACGUUUUCCAGUGACAGGCACCAGUCUGCCAAAGCCCUCGUCCAACAUAAACACCUGGCGCUGCCCGGCCAGCACGCUGAGUCAGAGCUACCCUGCUACCUACCCAGUCUCCCGCUCAAAGGUCUUCACUUCCAAGAAAAACAGGUCUGUUAGCCGUGAGUUUGGUCUAGCUGUCAGUGCCGUGAAAGUCUGUUGUCAUUCGCUGAGGCCGAGGACUACCCUAGGAAUGGCAGCCUUCUGACAGGCGCUGGCCUCAACUUCCCAGCAUCCCGGGUAGAUGGUUUGUGUGCAGAGAGGAGGGGGCAGGGACUGGUGAUUGAGUCCAUUUACGAUCAGUCACCACUCGCUCAGUGUUCAGGGUUCUUAAUCAUUGAUCCUAGACUGCUAGGAACCCUAGCUCAUUUCAGACCUUUGAAAGUGAGCUAUGUCACCCUUAGUGACAGUCGCUUUGGAUUGUCCUUACCCCUUCCUCUCCCUGCUCUCAGGCAGGCAAGCGUGCUAACUAUCCCAUAAUGUUCUUUGUAUAGAUCCUAGCUCCAGUUCCCCACUACAACACAGCCCACCCCCACCCCAUGCCUCUUCUGUAAUCGACCAUCUAGGAAACAUGUGAUGGGCCAUCCAUGACCAGAAAGACACUGAGUUUCCCAACAAGCAUAUUCCUGGCCGUUAUCUUUAAAGGUGGUUUCUAUCCCAUAAACCAAGAAGGUGGAAGAUGGGGGAGGAGGGGCACUAUUUUAUCAAGGAUACGUAAGAACCACGUGAGGAGUUAACAGGAAACCAGUCUGUUAAUUGUUCAGUAGUGUAGCCCAUGUUUACCAGUGCCUGGAAGAGCUGAGAUCAGGCGCUUUGAGACAUGCUAGUCAUCACAGACUCUAAGACCCUUCUCUUCACCCAUUUCAAGAUCCUGCCAGCCUCCAUUUGCAGACUCCUCUGCAAAAGCUCUCACAGCCGAGCCUUGCUGUCUGCUCACAAGCCCUAGUUCCUCCCUCCAGAGCAUCCACCAGGUGACUGUGCUUGCUUCCUGCUCUUCCUGGCUCCUUGAACCCCAGCAGAGGAUGUUGGAUGUGGACUGUGCAUAGUGAAGCACCUGGGAGGCUCCUUAGGAAGAGGAAACCACAAUAGACAUUCAGUCUCCACGUCAACAACUCAAACCCCAAAUCCUUGACUCUCUUCCACCUGACCGGCUGCUUGGACAGUGACCUCCGGAUUCUCCAGGGAGCAGUAAAUCCAGCCCCACUUUCUAAUUCAAACGUGCGCAGGCUCUGCUGACUUCAGAGGACAUGGAAACCACGCUGCCGUGCCAUGGAAGGACUAACUGAGGCAAGGUUCUGCGGAACCAAAGACGCAGGGACUCGUCUCAUGCCACAUCCAAGGCUGCCAUGAUCUACCCGAUUCUUCCUCACUCACUCCUGAGCUCGGAAAACAAGUAUUUCACUUGAAAACGUAAUUCUAACAAACACAUCACCGGAACCUUCGUCAGG
rnacentral:sRNA from 1 species